UACGUAGGGUGCGAGCGUUAAUCGGAAUUACUGGGCGUAAAGCGUGCGCAGGCGGUUUUGUAAGACAGAUGUGAAAUCCCCGGGCUUAACCUGGGAACUGCAUUUGUGACUGCAAGACUAGAGUUCGGCAGAGGGGGGUGGAAUUCCGCGUGUAGCAGUGAAAUGCGUAGAUAUGCGGAGGAACACCGAUGGCGAAGGCAAUCCCCUGGACCUGCACUGACGCUCAUGCACGAAAGCGUGGGGAGCAAACAGG
rnacentral:rRNA from 1 species